CAAUUGUUGUUCCGUGGAAUCCCAGGGUACAGAGAACACAAAUGGGGUUCCACCGCAAUUUCAGGAAACAAAAUGGCUGCAGCGAUAAUUGCGGACGGAGAGGGAGCACUCUCCUCUGCUCAGCUCCCUCGCACACACAGCAGUGAUGCCGAAUCCAGAAUAUGACGUCACUCUGGCCCCGGCAUCACCAAGAGGCCUGCGAGGGAGCUAUGCUGGAAGAUCACUGCUCCCUCGCCACCUGCACUGUAUGCCCGCACUCCAGUCGCUCAGCCCAGCAGCACCACUGGACCUCAGGGAAAUAGAG